UUGACGAAGGCAAUUGUUAAUAAAGUGUUGCCACAUCACUUUUUUCUUGAAAAUCACUUUUUUCGUCAAACAAAAAUUAUUCAUCUGUGAAAAACAAACAAUAUGGUAUUACUAAUAAUAAAAUGAAGCAAAGAGAGAAAACAAAACAAAAACAACAUAAAAAAGGAAUUUUGUACAAAAAGGGCUGGCACAGAAAUUCAGCACAAGAAAAAAUGUUCAUCGGUUUUAUGGACCUAGCGAGUGCUAUGUCAAAGGUGAUCGAGUGGUUGCCGAAACGAGUUGGUCACAACUCACUGAAAAACUACAUUCCUCGGGACCACCCAUCAAAGAUUGCAAUGGGUGGAAAAAGACAAGGUAAGAUUGGACAGUAAACGUUAAAAAAAAAUGUAUCACAAUAAAAAGGAAAAGACAAAAACUGGUUGUGGUCCUUUUAACAAAUGUGUGCUCAGUGAAAUUGAGGAAUCAAUUGCAAUGUUUCUUUUUGCACAAAAAAGAAAGAAAAGAAUACCUACACUUCUAUAUUAUUUUUAAUUACAUGUUUUGUUUUGAUUCCUCAUGCAUUCAUUCUUUCAUUCCCCUAAUUUUACCAUAUUUAAUAUAUAAUGUUGCCAUAUUUACACUGAAAUCGUAGUUUACCAAAUCGUACGAAAUCUGAAGAAGCUAAAAUAAAAACGAACGAUUUUGAAUUACGGAUUUCAACCCAUUUCGAUACGAUUUUGUGACAUUGACACUGAUUCUUUAAAUACAUCGAAAGUAUCAACGGAACGUAGCCUAAUUAUAAAGCAACAUUACCGACAUCUGGUGUAUAGAACCACGCACAAUAGAUGUCUUUUAUUUUCAAUUUCUCGAUGAUUUUUUUAGUCGAAAGAUAUUUUUUUGUUAACUAGCGCCGAUUUAAGUAAAGUAAGUCACGUUUUGUAAUUUUCCAAUAUAUUUAAACGGAAUUCUAUUUAAUUAAUAAGAACACACACGCUGUUUUACUUUUAAUGUUUUUUUUUUAAUCAAGGAGAAAAACAAACAUGCUACAACAAAAAAUAAUAAAUUGGAAUAUGUAGUUAAAGGUAAUAACAACGGAUUUGUUUGUAGCUUAAAUAAAUUAUAAUACAUAAGAAAAGACCCCAAUAGUUGUAUGUAUUAUAUUCUCUAAG